GUACCAGACUCCUACGGGAGGCAGCAGUGAGGAAUAUUGGUCAAUGGGCGGGAGCCUGAACCAGCCAAGCCGCGUGAGGGAAGAAGGUACAGCGUAUCGUAAACCUCUUUUGUCAGGGAACAAAGGCGGGGACUAGUCCCCGGAUGAGGGUACCUGAAGAAAAAGCAUCGGCUAACUCCGUGCCAGCAGCCGCGGUAAUACGUAGGGGGCAAGCGUUAUCCGGAUUUACUGGGUGUAAAGGGGGCGCAGACGGCGAUGCAAGCCAGGAGUGAAAGCCCGGGGCCCAACCCCGGGACUGCUCUUGGAACUGCGUGGCUGGAGUGCAGGAGGGGCAGGCGGAAUUCCUGGUGUAGCGGUGAAAUGCGUAGAUAUCAGGAGGAACACCGGUGGCGAAGGCGGCUUACUGGACCGAAACUGACGUUGAGGCUCGAAAGCGUGGGGAGCAAACAGGAUUAGAUACCCGCGUAU
rnacentral:rRNA from 1 species